GCAAAAUCAGUCUUGUUCUUCUAAUGGACUUCACACCAUAUCUAGCAAUCUAAAUAGAACUGCUGCUGCUAAAAAUAAAACUAACAACAGAUGGAGUGUAAAACUAACUAAAAUCAAUGCACAUACCUUUUCUAAUUUGAAGGAUGGCUUCGACAACCCCGUAAGUUUACGUGAUGUAAGGAUAGACCAUGAAGAUAUAAAUGCUACAUCCAUCGAAAACAAGAAACUUGCGAAGAUACAAGGAGUGAGCGGCAACGGCAUCACAUUCGGCAACAGUAAGUACCCACACGUGGAAGUGAGUAAUAAGACAACCAGGAAUGAGUAUCAUCUAUCACAGACAGUUCUACUCAGAGACAAGAGAUAGGAGGCACACAG